UAUGUCCACGUCACGUUGAAAGUACUGGUUCCUGUACGAUUACCAAACUUAAGCAACGUCGAAUCUGGUUAGUACUUAUAUGGGUGACCGCUUGGGAAUCCAAGGUGCUGUCA